rnacentral:lncRNA from 1 species
GGUGUGCUCUCGCCAUUGUUCCAUCUGCAAGGAGCACUCUUUCUGCAGAAGGGACCUAUUCUCCUCUGGGGGUAGUCUCCAGUCCUCUCUCCUAAGGAGGUGCCCUGCUGCCUCAUUGCUGUGGCCUCAGCGGUGAGGAAUUGAGACCCACCUGCUGUGCUGAAUAAACCCGGACUCUCAGCAAUGCGGAAAGAAACCGGCUGGUGACCUGAAGUAAAGGAUCCUCACAUACUACGUGGACCAGACAACCUCGUGCACAAGCCAAGGAAGGAAACACUGGAGGAGCUGAACUAAAGGUCUUUCAGCACAGGUGCCACCCCUAGCAUUUCCAGCACACCAGCAUCAGCCUGGGGACCACGUCGUUGUCAAAAGUUAGAGAGAAGGAAAACUUGAACUGGCAAAGGACCUUACCUAGUGCUCCUAACUACCGAAAUGGCAGUCUGGACAGCAGAAAAAGGAUGGACCCAUCACACCCAAGUCAAGAAAGUGCUGCCCCCUCCAGAGUCAUGGGCCGUAGUCCCAGGAGAAAACCCUAUCAAACUAAAGAUAAGAAAAAUUUAACUCCUUUCAUCUAUUCUGUUACUCCUUCUUCUUUCCUUGCUCUAUUGCUGACUACCUAGUUAUUAAUGUAACCAAGUCAAUUUUGCCUCAAACUAUUACAUUUGAUGGUUGCCUUGUUAUACCCUGUGGAGAUUUGCCAAGUUAGGGGCAACUCUCCACUUCAGAAAACUAUCUUUAUCCUUCCUAGCUCUCCUCAGACUAAAAAUCUGUUAACUGGGAUAAGUUAGUUUGAGAAGAGUUUGAUGAAGAUUCCAGUAUAAACUGGAAAUCUUGUCCUCCUAGAGCAGAGCUUCUCUGCCAAACUUGGCUCAAUGCUCUAUAAAAUACUAAAGAGCAAGGAUGGACCACACUAACUAGUACUUGCAGUUUCUUAAAACCAUAUAUUCAUUUUACUAAAGGAGCUAUCCCUCCCCACUGUCAGCUAAACCAAUGUAAUCCAGUACAGAUUACCAUCUCUGUUCCCCAGAGUUCUUCCCCUUCAUUAAACCAUUUCUAUGGUAUAGGAGCAGAAGUCUCAGGAUCCUUUGAAAUGUGCUUCAUUUCCUCCUCACUUCCUGUACCCUUUUCUCCCUCUCCUAAGUUCUCCUCUAACCAACAUUCUCUUGUUAUAUACCCAAUGAUAAAACCAAACUAGUUGUUGUAGAGGUUAACUAUUUAAAACAAACUAUAGCAAUUGAAACAGGGUAUCAGGAUGCAAAUGCUUGGCUGGAAUGGAUAAAAUAUUCUGUUUGCACGAUAAACAAAAGUGACUGUAACGCUUGUGCGAUAGGCAGGCCAGAGACCCAGAUUGUUCCCUUUCCACUUGGGUGGUCCUCUCAGGGACCUGGCAUGAGCUGUAUGGUAGCUGUCUUCCAGAACCCCACAGCCUGGGGCGAUGAGUCAUGCAAGGCUCUUUUACUGCUGUUCUCUGAGGUUAAGAGCCCUGUGGGUCAGCCCUCAAGGGCCUUCUGGCCUCCAGCCCCUGAUGUUAACUUCACCUCAUUCCUUUCACAGCAGGGGAAAAAGUUAGCAUUCCUUGAAGAUUUAACAGGGUGCAGUGUAACCAAGCCUUUCCAAGAGCUUACCAAUCAGUCUGUCCUUGUUCAUCCCUGAGCAUAAGUGUGGUGGUAUCAUGGGGGACUAUUGCUGGAUACUCUGCCAAGUUAUUAGAGCAGCACUUGUGCUCUAGUCCAAUUCACCAUCCCUUUCACUCUAGCAUUUCAUCAACAUGAUUACAAAAAAAGAGAGAAAAUCAUAAAAGAAGAAGUGCCCUAUAUGGGUCCUUUGACCCCCAUGUUUAUGUAAAUGCUAUUAGAGCUCAAUGAGGAGUGCCAGAUGAAUUUAAAGCCCAUGAUCAAAUAGCUUCAGGAUUUCAGUCAAUAUUCUAGUGGGUAAAAAUUAAUAAAAAUGUAGACUGGAUGAAUUACAUCUAUUAUGAUCAACAGUGGUUUAUUAACUACACUAGAGAUGCUGCUAAAGAAAUAGCAAUGCAAUUAGGGGCUACUAGCCAGAUGGCUUGGGAAAAUAGAAUAGCCUUAGACAUUAUAUCAGCAGCAGAAGGAGGAGGAGUUUGCAUCAUGAUUAAAACUCAAUAUUGUACCUUCAUCCCAAACAAUACUGCCCCUGAUGGAAGUAUAACAAGGCAUUGCAAGGUCUAACUGCUCUGUCCAAUGAGUUAACCAAAAACUCAGCGGUAAGUGACCCCUUUAAAAGGUGCCUAGAAAAAUCAUUCAGUAAAUGGAAAAAAAAAAUCAUAGCCUCAGUUCUUACUUCUCUCACAGCCAUAGUAGGCGUAUUCAUUCUUGUUGGGUGUUUUGUCAUACCAUGCAUCCGUGGGCUGGUUCACAGACUCAUACAGGCAGCACUUACUAAAACCUCCCUUAAUUCUCCUCCACCUUAUUCAGAGAAGCUUUUUCUUUUAGAGAAUCAUGCAGAACAACUAAGCCAAGACAUUUUAAGGAAGUUUGAAGAGAAGGAACUGUAAAAAUUCAAGAUGAAGAACUGUUAAAUAUAGUGAACCCCAAGUUUCUAUUCAAAGAAUCAGUAUGUCAGUAUGUUCAGCUCUCUUAUUGAUUCUCCAUUUUAAAGUUUAACUUCCUGGUUCCCUUUGCCCCCUCCCUUCUAAUUUCAGUAAACAACUUUCCCACCAGUCCUAAUCAGUAGUUCACAUCUCUUCCCCUGGUCACCUGCUUUGAUAUGACUCACCCCUGGUCACCUGCUCCAUCCUGACUCAUCCUGAGCCACCAGUUCUGUAACUGCCCUUCCUGCCAAACUACAUGCCUCACCACUCUGGCUCAUACUCCUGCUCUUUUUUAAAAUAGCCAGUUGGAAUUGCUUAGACUGUGCAGUCCAACCUAGCCAAUAGGGGAAUGACACAGCAGUAAAGGCUAUCUCCAUCAGGAAUAAUAACCUCUUCUCCUCCUCUGUCCAGGUGUGCUCUCACCAUUGUUCCAUCUGCAAGGAGCACUCUUUCUGCAGAAA